rnacentral:rRNA from 1 species
GAUGAACGCUGGCGGCGUGCCUAACACAUGCAAGUCGAGCGGGGUUCAUGAGGACGAAACUUCGGUCUAGAAAUCAUGAUGAGAGCGGCGGACGGGUGAGUAACGCGUAGGCAACCUGCCCUUAGCACAGGGAUAGCCGCGGGAAACCGGGAUUAAAACCUGAUAAUGCCAAACAGUCACAUGCCUGUGUGGCCAAAGAUUUAUCGGCUAAGGAUGGGCCUGCGUCUGAUUAGUUAGUUGGUGGGGUAACGGCCUACCAAGCCGACGAUCAGUAGCCGACCUGAGAGGGUGAUCGGCCACAUUGGAACUGAGACACGGUCCAAACUCCUACGGGAGGCAGCAGUGGGGAAUAUUGCACAAUGGGCGAAAGCCUGAUGCAGCAACGCCGCGUGAGCGAUGAAGGCCUUUGGGUCGUAAAGCUCUGUCCUAGGGGACGAACAAAAUGACAGUACCCUUGGAGGAAGCCCCGGCUAACUACGUGCCAGCAGCCGCAGUAACAC